AAAGGUGUAAACAGAUAGAUGGCUUCACCACAUAAAUCACGUUCACAUGAAGAUAGAUGUGCUUUCUGCAGAAGUGAAAUUUGUGCUGCCUUUUGCUUACUCCUAAUAAUAGGAACGUGUAUGCAAAUUUCCUAUCUCCCAGCAGCUACAAUAAAUUACUCUGGAGCACCUGAACCCCUUCCAGCUUGAUAUAGAAGUUCAAAGGAAAGGUAAAUAUAUCUCUUUUCUUUUUUUCCCAAAAAGGUAAGGCAGGUGCACUCGAUAGCUUGAGUAAAGGUUUUAACCCCAUGUUAACAGAUUUGAUGGUGCUGCGAUCUUGAUUCCAUACCACCUCCUCACACAUGGAUUGCUAUUCAAUAAGCAGGCAAAAAUGUAAAUGACACAGGCACAAAUAAGCCCCCAAAGAUGUUAUUGCUCUUUAUGUAAGAAACAACCCCAGCAGUGGCCCUGAGUAAAUCUUCAGCUGAUAUUUGUUGCCUCUGAUUGUCACGGUCAGUCCCAGUCAGCUUCUUUCCCUACAUACUUCUUGGGCCUAAAGCUGUUCUUGUUGCUGCUGGGGUCAGGUGGCUGAGGUGUUCCUCUGCAGAGCUAGCUCUUGUCACCUGGGUGAAUGUGGACCCUGUGCAGCUGUUUGGGUGUCUUCUGGGAGAAGCAAUGUUGCAUGCUGGUGACUUGCUUCACGUGAAGUAGCCAGGCCUGCUGUCACCUCUCCCCAUGGUUGCUGGAUGGUGCAGCAUUACCUUCAGCCAUGUGUCGUGGCAGAAGAGGAGAUGCGUGCCUUCAUCUGUGUGGAUUAACAGUUGUGCCCUACAUGCAGGACUAGAGAAGGACACGCUUGCCUGGCUAUUGCUAGUACACUCCGCUUCCAAACAGCACGUACGAAGAUUGGGAGGAUGUUUCCUAUCAAUAAGUAUUUUAAACCAAAGGCCUCUGAAAUCUAUUCCAUUCUCCAAAGCAUGGGAAAUGGAGCUGAGUGAAGGCAUCAGGUUGUAGCUGUCUGUCAGAGGCACAUAUGAAGUACUUACCCUCCCUUCAACCAAGUUUCUGGAACCUGGACUUCUUCCAUGAAAUCCACACCUGUAUUUGACAGUUACUGGGAUUUUGCUAAG
rnacentral:lncRNA from 1 species